UUAAUUUGACGGGUCUCUUAGCUUUGCUCUUUACGAACUCCAAUGUAGCAAUAGGUGCCUGACCUUUUAUUUUUAUCAUUAUUAUUUCCCAAAUUCAUUCACCUAUUCUCUCUCUGCAAAACCUCCUCUCAAGCCCAAGCCCAAGCCCAACCCCAAAUUAAAACCCUCAUAUCAUCCUAUAGUAAUCCGCCGUCACCCGUUAGUUCUUCUUCCCUUCUCCAGUAAAUCAACAUACUGCCCUUCAUUUUUUUUUUUGAGGGACAUACUGUCCUUCUUCUCCAUUGAAUGAAACACUACAUAUACUCUAACAAUGGUAAAAUAAAAAUGGCUCCUUUUCUCCUCUCAACAUGCUUAUUGCUCUUUAUCCUCUUAUUUUUCUAAAGUUCAAGAAUAUCACUAAAAAUAAUGAGGAUUUGAUAAUAGAUUUGCAAAUUAUGAAGAAUUGUUGUCUAAUUUAUAACUGAACUUCUGAUCAAAAUUGAGGUUUGCGAGGAGAUAUAAAUAUGGAGUAUUCAAGCCUUGUUGGUGUUAUAAUGAUUGUUAAAUUUAUGUAAUUUUUUUUUAAACAAAAAUUUAUGUAAAUUCAUAGUAUGUAUAUUAUUUUUAUUUUUUUUUUUGUUGCAAAUUUACGUUGGAUGUUUUUUUUUGUAUGCGUUAAUUUUAAUUUAAUCCAUUGCUAUUUUCCGUGGUCAAAGUGAAAUUUACAAUUUAUGAAUUAUCAACCAAUUUUUACAUAUAGCAUAUAAAUAGAAUUUUCAAAAUUUUAAUGAAAAAUUCGUUCCAAAUAAAAAGCAAUUUUUUAUUUUUUUUUAAAAAAACUUAAAGAACAAAGAGACCCGUUAUGUGACAGGUGUUUGGGGGUAAAAAUACCCCCUAUAUGUGGACCAAUGCCACCUCGACACGUGUCCGCAAGCUCAGCGCUCAAUGAGCCAAUUAGAGCAUGACAUGUGUCACUCAAUGAUAGAAGGGUGAAAAUGGGCUUUAAGCCCACAACCCUAGAGCCCGUAAAACGUUGGGAAGCCAAUCUACUUAGGUUAAAUAACCUAAGAGGCACAUAUCCCAAUGCUCUAUAAAUACUGAUCUUUACAUCAGUUUCAAGGGAUCCAAUUCUCUCUCCAAGGGCAAUGCCCCCCACAUUUACUCUCCCUUCUCUCUACUUUCUCUCUCUAAAAUACAUUAUUUCGGUCACUGACUUGAUCGUCGGAGGCGGACCCCCGGGUCCGUUGUUUUGCAGGUGAUUGGGCCGUUCGAGUGUUGCAUUGCAGAUCUGUCUCUCGAGGGACGUACACACCCUCCAUUCGGGUAUUAUGUGCCGAAAGAAAGAGGAUAUCAAGAAGCCAAGCUAACUGUUGUGCGCGGGGUACUGUGCGGCUUCUGUGCGGGCGCACAUGUGAGGCUGUGCGGGGGCGCAGCCCUGUCAGAACCCGCACAACCAGACUGAAGAAACAGAGCCUAACCAGAGAGUUUGCGUGACUUGCGUGCGGGCGUACACACCUGAUGCGCGGGCGCGCUCAUUUUCCCCGUACCCUCAAAGUUGCGGCCGUGCACUGCGCUGAGAGGGCGCACACACAUUUUGUGCGGGCGCGCAACUCAUCUGUGCGGGCGCGCACGGCUGGGUUUCCGAUUUAUUUGCGCCUUGUUGUCCAAGUCUCUUUCGUUUGGGGGGAGCCACAUAUAUAUAGACAGGACUCUUUGUAAUAGAAUGACACUUAGUACUAAUUCCAUAGAAAAUUAGCCUAAUCUAGAGAGAGAAAAUAGAUUAUUAUUCAAGCUUCCUUUAUUGUUUUCAACUUUGCUCAAGCUUUAAUCUUCCAUCAAUCAAGCAAGUAUCCAAGUUUUCAUCUUUCUUCAA